rnacentral:rRNA from 1 species
CCAGACUCCUACGGGAGGCAGCAGUGAGGAAUAUUGGUCAAUGGGCGGGAGCCUGAACCAGCCAAGUCGCGUGAAGGAUGACGGCCCUACGGGUUGUAAACUUCUUUUGUCAGGGAGCAAUUGGGUCCACGCGUGGGCUUAGCGAGAGUACCUGAAGAAAAAGCAUCGGCUAACUCCGUGCCAGCAGCCGCGGUAAUACGGAGGAUGCGAGCGUUAUCCGGAUUUACUGGGUGUAAAGGGCGUGUAGGCGGGAAAGCAAGUCAGAUGUGAAAACCAUGGGCUCAACCUGUGGCCUGCAUUUGAAACUGUUUUUCUUGAGUACUGGAGAGGCAGACGGAAUUCCUAGUGUAGCGGUGAAAUGCGUAGAUAUUAGGAGGAACACCAGUGGCGAAGGCGGUCUGCUGGACAGCAACUGACGCUGAGGCGCGAAAGCGUGGGGAGCAAACAGGAUUAGAUACCCUAGUAC